AUUGAACGCUGGCGGCAUGCUUUACACAUGCAAGUCGAACGGUAACAGGCCGCGAGGUGCUGACGAGUGGCGGACGGGUGAGUAAUACUUCCGAACGGGCCCAGUCGCUGGGGGUAACUACUCGCAACAGGAACUAAUACCGCAUACGAGCUAUGGUUGUAAACGGGGUGCCGUAAGGGCUCGCGCGAUUGGUGCUGUCGCUGACAGAUUAGGUAGCUGGUGGGGUAAAGGCUCACCAAGUCAACGAUCUGUAGCUGGACUGAGAGGACGAGCCGCCACACUGGAACUGAGACACGGCCCAGACUCCUACGGGAGGCAGCAGUGGGGAAUUUUGGACAAUGGGCGCAAGCCUGAUCCAGCAAUGCCGCGUGAGGGAAGAAGGCCUUCGGGUCGUAAACUGCUUUUGUACGGAACGAAACGGCUUUGGAUAAUACCCGGAGCUAAUGACGGUACCGAAACAGUAAGCACCGGCUAACUACGUG
rnacentral:rRNA from 1 species